CCUCGCUCUCCUCCUCAUCGCCCUUCUGGCCUCGUGCGGGCUGGCGGCGCCCAUGAUCUCCAAUGCUGUGGAGGAGAGCUCCUUCACCCGCGGCUUCCGAGAGAACGCCGGUCUUCCUCCAGCAGACGAUUACUCCAUCACCAUCGAAUACGCGUUUCCCAUCUAUUCCUUCCACAUUCCUUUUAAAUUCGCUAGUUAAUGUCUCUCCACAAUCCUUUGGAAUUCGCUAGUUAUUGAGGCGGAAUCGUGAUAUUUUAAGCCAUUUUCGACUACGUUUUUUGAAGACUGUGGAGCACGUGGCAUAAGCACAAGAACAUGUUUGUCCAACGUGUUUGGAAGAUUUCGCCGAUAGAUGUCUCCUUAUGAAGAUCCUAUAUAAGUGGAGUUUGAUUUUUUAAAUAAGGGAUGUGAUCCUUUUUUGUGCUGUAUGAAUGUAUUUAUUGGUUCCUCUUCUUGUUUAUUAUUUAUUUUGUAAUUAAACUGUUAAAAUGAA